UCAUUGGAAACUGGGGAACUUGAGUGCAGAAGAGGAGAGUGGAAUUCCACGUGUAGCGGUGAAAUGCGAAGAGAUGUGGAGGAACACCAGUGGCGAAGGCGACUCUCUGGUCUGUAACUGACGCUGAGGAGCGAAAGCGUGGGGAGCGAACAGGAUUAGAUACCCUGGUAGUCCACGCCGUAAACGAUGAGUGCUAAGUGUUAGGGGGUUUCCGCCCCUUAGUGCUGCAGCUAACGCAUUAAGCACUCCGCCUGGGGAGUACGGUCGCAAGACUGAAACUCAAAGGAAUUGACGGGGGCCCGCACAAGCGGUGGAGCAUGUGGUUUAAUUCGAAGCAACGCGAAGAACCUUACCAGGUCUUGACAUCCUCUGACAAUCCUAGAGAUAGGACGUCCCCUUCGGGGGCAGAGUGACAGGUGGUGCAUGGUUGUCGUCAGCUCGUGUCGUGAGAUGUUGGGUUAAGUCCCGCAACGAGCGCAACCCUUGAUCUUAGUUGCCAGCAUUCAGUUGGGCACUCUAAGGUGACUGCCGGUGACAAACCGGAGGAAGGUGGGGAUGACGUCAAAUCAUCAUGCCCCUUAUGACCUGGGCUACACACGUGCUACAAUGGGCAGAACAAAGGGCAGCGAAACCGCGAGGUUAAGCCAAUCCCACAAAUCUGUUCUCAGUUCGGAUCGCAGUCUGCAACUCGACUGCGUGAAGCUGGAAUCGCUAGUAAUCGCGGAUCAGCAUGCCGCGGU
rnacentral:rRNA from 1 species